AAGGAGCAUCUGGCACCCUCGGGUGUCCAGGCGCCGGAUCUGAGACAGUACUUAUCACUUCGGUAAGACUUGGUCUCAGACGGUAGCUCAUGGGUGGAACAUUGACAUUGGUGCGGAGCCGAACGGCUCGAACUCAGUACGUCUCUUCGGAGAAAGGAACGGUUCGAUCCUGGAAGCCCCGCACAUGCACGCUGUUGGGUCCUGAGGGACCGGGCCUCAUCGAUCGGAUGAGAACUGGACCUCGGACCUUUUCUUGUUGGUCAUAAUUCGGCUGACGGAAAAGGUACCGCCCGUACUUUGAGAACUACACAGUGGACGCGAGCAUCUUAGAUUCGAACCUUCGGGUUCGGAUCACAAAAGAUGAUCACAGUACUUUCGAGUACUGAUUAGAUCAUUGGUCAAUCUGCGUCGAAUCUACUUCGAUAGAGGAGACGCCGAUCGAUUCAAACUCAUGUGAUUUCAAGUUUCUAAGAGCAAAC
rnacentral:misc_RNA from 1 species